GACGAACGCUGGCGGCGUGCUUAACACAUGCAAGUCGAACGGAAAGGCCCCUUUGGGGGUACUCGAGUGGCGAACGGGUGAGUAACACGUGAGUAACCUGCCCUUGACUUCGGGAUAACUUCAGGAAACUGGGGCUAAUACCGGAUAGGAAUCCUUGCUGCAUGGUGGGGGUUGGAAAGCUUCGGCGGUUUUGGAUGGACUCGCGGCUUAUCAGCUUGUUGGUGGGGUAGUGGCUUACCAAGGCUUUGACGGGUAGCCGGCCUGAGAGGGCGACCGGCCACAUUGGGACUGAGAUACGGCCCAUACUCCGACGGGAGGCAGCAGUGGGGAAUAUUGCACAAUGGGCGGAAGCCUGAUGCAGCAACGCCGCGGGCGGGAUGACGGCCUUCGGGUUGUAAACCGCUUUCAGCAGGGGCGAAGCUUGUGGUGACGGUACCUGCAGAAGAAGCACCGGCUAACUACGUG
rnacentral:rRNA from 1 species